rnacentral:tRNA from 1 species
GCCGCGAUGGCGGAACUGGUAGACGCGCAUGAUUCAGAGUCAUGUAUCCGCAAGGAUGUGUGGGUUCAACUCCCACUCGCGGCA